rnacentral:rRNA from 1 species
CGACCUUGGCGGGGUGCUUACACAUGCAAGUCGAACGGUGAAGCAGAGCUUGCUCUGUGGAUCAGUGGCGAACGGGUGAGUAACACGUGAGCAAUCUGCCCCUGACUCUGGGAUAAGCGCUGGAAACGGCGUCUAAUACCGGAUACGAGCUGCGACCGCAUGGUCAGUAGCUGGAAAGAAUUUCGGUCAGGGAUGAGCUCGCGGCCUAUCAGCUUGUUGGUGAGGUAAUGGCUCACCAAGGCGUCGACGGGUAGCCGGCCUGAGAGGGUGACCGGCCACACUGGGACUGAGACACGGCCCAGACUCCUACGGGAGGCAGCAGUGGGGAAUAUUGCACAAUGGGCGAAAGCCUGAUGCAGCAACGCCGCGUGAGGGAUGACGGCCUUCGGGUUGUAAACCUCUUUUAGCAGGGAAGAAGCGAAAGUGACGGUACCUGCAGAAAAAGCGCCGGCUAACUACGUGCCAGCAGCCGCGGUAAUACGUAGGGCGCAAGCGUUAUCCGGAAUUAUUGGGCGUAAAGAGCUCGUAGGCGGUCUGUCGCGUCUGCUGUGAAAACCCGAGGCUCAACCUCGGGCCUGCAGUGGGUACGGGCAGACUAGAGUGCGGUAGGGGAGAUUGGAAUUCCUGGUGUAGCGGUGGAAUGCGCAGAUAUCAGGAGGAACACCGAUGGCGAAGGCAGAUCUCUGGGCCGUAACUGACGCUGAGGAGCGAAAGGGUGGGGAGCAAACAGGCUUAGAUACCCUGGUAGUCCACCCCGUAAACGUUGGGAACUAGUUGUGGGGUCCAUUCCACGGAUUCCGUGACGCAGCUAACGCAUUAAGUUCCCCGCCUGGGGAGUACGGCCGCAAGGCUAAAACUCAAAGGAAUUGACGGGGACCCGCACAAGCGGCGGAGCAUGCGGAUUAAUUCGAUGCAACGCGAAGAACCUUACCAAGGCUUGACAUAUAGAGGAAACGUCUGGAAACAGUCGCCCCGCAAGGUCUCUAUACAGGUGGUGCAUGGUUGUCGUCAGCUCGUGUCGUGAGAUGUUGGGUUAAGUCCCGCAACGAGCGCAACCCUCGUUCUAUGUUGCCAGCACGUAAUGGUGGGAACUCAUGGGAUACUGCCGGGGUCAACUCGGAGGAAGGUGGGGAUGACGUCAAAUCAUCAUGCCCCUUAUGUCUUGGGCUUCACGCAUGCUACAAUGGCCGGUACAAAGGGCUGCAAUACCGUGAGGUGGAGCGAAUCCCAAAAAGCCGGUCCCAGUUCGGAUUGAGGUCUGCAACUCGACCUCAUGAAGUCGGAGUCGCUAGUAAUCGCAGAUCAGCAACGCUGCGGUGAAUACGUUCCCGGGUCUUGUACACACCGCCCGUCAAGUCAUGAAAGUCGGUAACACCUGAAGCCGGUGGCCCAACCCUUGUGGAGGGAGCCGUCGAAAGGUUGAUUCGGAUA